CAAGCUAGAGGCAGCAACUGCAUACCUUGCAAGAAAAAAUCGGUUUUGUUGACGUACCGAUGAUUUUCUUGCAAGUUGUGCAGUUGUUGUCUCAAGCUUG
rnacentral:pre_miRNA from 1 species